UGGAAUGGCGACGUAGUGGACCCGUACAGCAGAUGUUUUUCGAUCACGCUUUGUAUUUAGUCAAGAGCUUCAAAUAUUUUCCUGUAAUCUCGACUAAAUGACACGGAAUUUCACGAUCACACAGUACGUCUUGUCUCCGUGGUAUUUAUGCCAUGACCCUGAUCAUUCCGCCGAUAACUCAUAAAGAUCCUAACUUUAUAAUGGAAACACAAUUACUGGAUGAUUCGCCCUUUCUCUAUGAAUGGAAAACAGCAGAACAAGACUUAGAAUUUUUGGAUUACGCUUAUUGUUUCGAAGAUAAUCAAAACAAACGUAAGGCGUCCAAGACAUCAACAACGCUAUCUUUAUCAAACGCCGAUGGUAAUAUAAACUCCGAUGAGAAACAGACAAUUUUAAAUUUAUCACUUGACAAACUUAAACGUAUCGAAGACCCAGAAACCUGUCUAUGUAGAACGGUAUUGAUAAGUAAUACGAUCAAACGUUUACGAAGUCCAAACGAACUUAGGUUUUUGAACAAAGACGGGCCAUCCAGCUGCUGUUUUGCAGGCACUCUACCGUGCAAGAGACCACGCUUGCAAGUCGCGGAUCUACUCAACUCAAACCAUUUAAAAAGCGAUUACACAGACAUAGGGUUAAUUACCAAGCAAGAUACAACGAAAGAAAUGUUACGCAAUCAGAGAAUAAACCCUGCUGACAACCAAUUCCACCUUCCGUCUAAUCGUGCCACAGCCGAUGAGACAAAACGAAAUUGCGAUCUGGUGAAGUUUAAUGGGAUUGAGCUGCCGAAUGUGAUCUGCGCGCUGGAGACAUAAGGGAAAAGCAAAUUUUGUAAAUGUCAAAAGAUUAGUUCUUAAACCGCAAACCAAUUUUUCCUCUGUUUGUUGACAUUUUGUACAAAGACAAGUACAGAAAGGAUGCAUACAAUUAUGUUUGAGGUGUUCCUAACGCCGCCCACAGAUUUGAAAUACCGAAUACCGAUCAAUACAAUAUUGGUUAUUGGUGCAAUAUCAUUAAUAAAUUCCCGUUUUCAAGUUAAAUACUAUAGAUUCAGCGAUCUAGUGUAAGACAAAUCGGGAAUGAGAGUGUUUUAGCCAAGGAAUUUGGCUCUGUAUUGAAGUUGACCCUUUCACUUUCACUAUGAACUGAAGAUGGCCAUGAAAUAACAAACAAAUAUAAUUAUGUGACUAGCUCUUGCAUGCAGUGAAGUGUGAAGUGCACAUCAACCCAGGCGGCCUGUAGCUUGAGAAUUCCUCGCCGUAUUCAGAAGAUAACACCUUUUCAAGUAAUCCAUUGAAGAUAGUUUACGUGAUCGUGCUAUUUUCUGAUGUUCCUAAGAAGAGCAAUGGGGAGAAUGAUUAUUGCACAAUAAUCUCUGACUAAAUUUGUCCUGUGAUACGACAAUGAAUACUGAGGAACAACACUUAACAAUAUCUGAAAUGACAUUUCCAAGUAUGAUUUAUCCGCUAUCAAGUGGGUGAAAAAAUUGACAAUCAAGCUAACGGCUCGCCCAUAGUUACUACAGUUGGAAUAUCAUCUCAUGCGAAUGAAAAAUCCUGAACUAACAUCCACAUUUUCACAAAUCUCACGAAGAUGAGAAGAAGAGAAGUGAAAGAGAGCAUAGCAUGCACCCAUGUUUCACUGCAUUCAAUAUUAUAUCAACCUCAUCUGUUUCCUUGUUGCAUUUUAUAUGCAUUGAUGCAUGUUUCUGCAAUUCCAUGACUUGGUUUGAGGACGUAUUUAUAAUGAUGAUAACUUAUUCAUAUUAGGUUCACUGCAUGUUGGCUAAGAGUCCAAAACGGACGGUGAGGCUGAAUUUCGAGAUAAGAGAUUAAGAAUUUGAGAAAAGGUCAAUGGUUCAAUUGCCUUACAAGGUAGCAACAUAUGAUAUCAGACGACUGAAUGUGCAAAUUUCCCACACCAGAGGGAGAUUAAAGACGCACAAACUAGAAAACAAUUGGAUGUUCAGCGGUUAGAGGUCAUCGCUUGCGACGAACAUUAUCAAAUAUUACAAAAAGACUCUUGAAGGAAAAAUUCUCUCCUCAGACUCAUUAAACAAGACUCUCGGCUAGAAGCAUUAUCUAUACCCGCAUCUUAAAUAAAAAUAUGUCCAGUUUUUCGAGCAGCCUCUUGGAAGUCUAAGAGGAUUUCCCCCCUCUUGGCAUUAGUGUUUUAAAAUUACAAUAAACCUUUUGAGAUUGAAGUAUUUUCAAACUCUGCUGUUGUGUGUUAACUGAAGUUUCGCCGUUGACUGUUAUCAAAGUACCAAUCGUUUUUUUUAAAUGAACUGUUAGUGUUACUGAGUUUCGAAGUCAAGGCAAAUUGUACAUCAAAAUUGAAAUAUAAGCAAGCUACUUAUCUGUCGAAAACGUGAAAAAUAUUAAAAAAAAACGUUAAAAGAUGUCCUUAAGAGCAUGUGUGAUGGAAUUGUAGUUUUAGCUGAUAGUAUAAAAAACAAACGUGAUUUGAUGCACACAGUGCUACUCUUGCAGUCAGACGUGAUGGCCAACAUUUCCUCGUUCCAACUCACCAAACAGAGCAUGGGUGAAACCCAACUAUAUUAUUGUUUCAUUAUUUUAAGUUAACAUUCGUUAUUUAGGCGUUUCUCGAUGUAAAAAACACUAUAGUCUACUAUGAAAUUCAGGAUUUUGCACAGUCGUUAUCUUGCGCGUACGUAUUAGCUACAAGGUAGAAUGUGUUGUUAUUAAACAUACUUGUGUGUGUAUUAUACCAUUAAUAUAUU
rnacentral:lncRNA from 1 species